rnacentral:rRNA from 1 species
AUUGAACGCUGGCGGCAUGCUUUACACAUGCAAGUCGAGCGGCAGCGCGGGCUUCGGCCUGGCGGCGAGUGGCGAACGGGUGAGUAAUACAUCGGAACGUGCCCAGUAGUGGGGGAUAGCUCGGCGAAAGCCGGAUUAAUACCGCAUACGACCUGAGGGUGAAAGCGGGGGAUCUUCGGACCUCGCGCUAUUGGAGCGGCCGAUGGCGGAUUAGCUAGUUGGUGGGGUAAAGGCCUACCAAGGCGACGAUCUGUAGCUGGUCUGAGAGGACGACCAGCCACACUGGGACUGAGACACGGCCCAGACUCCUACGGGAGGCAGCAGUGGGGAAUUUUGGGCAAAGGGCGAAAGCCUGAUCCAGCAAUGCCGCGUGUGUGAUGAAGGCCUUCGGGUUGUAAAGCACUUUUGGCGGGAACGAAAAGGACUGUGCCAAUACCACGGUUCGAUGACGGUACCCGCAGAAUAAGCACCGGCUAACUACGUG